GGACGGGUGAGUAAUGUCUGGGGAUCUGCCCGAUAGAGGGGGAUAACCACUGGAAACGGUGGCUAAUACCGCAUAACGUCGCAAGACCAAAGAGGGGGACCUUCGGGCCUCUCACUAUCGGAUGAACCCAGAUGGGAUUAGCUAGUAGGCGGGGUAAUGGCCCACCUAGGCGACGAUCCCUAGCUGGUCUGAGAGGAUGACCAGCCACACUGGAACUGAGACACGGUCCAGACUCCUACGGGAGGCAGCAGUGGGGAAUAUUGCACAAUGGGCGCAAGCCUGAUGCAGCCAUGCCGCGUGUAUGAAGAAGGCCUUCGGGUUGUAAAGUACUUUCAGCGGGGAGGAAGGCGAUGGGGUUAAUAACCGUGUCGAUUGACGUUACCCGCAGAAGAAGCACCGGCUAACUCCGUGCCAGCAGCCGCGGUAAUACGGAGGGUGCAAGCGUUAAUCGGAAUUACUGGGCGUAAAGCGCACGCAGGCGGUCUGUUAAGUCAGAUGUGAAAUCCCCGGGCUUAACCUGGGAACUGCAUUUGAAACUGGCAGGCUUGAGUCUUGUAGAGGGGGGUAGAAUUCCAGGUGUAGCGGUGAAAUGCGUAGAGAUCUGGAGGAAUACCGGUGGC
rnacentral:rRNA from 1 species